UCUCAGUACGAGCUGUAUUAAAGUGAAACCGCAAAAGGCUCAGUAAACCGGUCAUGGUUUACCGGAUAUAUGCCACUUUACGUGGACAACUGUGGUAAUUCUAGAGCUAAUACAUGCAACCAAGUCCCGACCAGCGAUGGAGAGGACGCUUUUAUUGGAUCAAAACCAUUCGCCCGGGUCCGCCCGGGCGUCUGCUUUGAUGACUCUAGAUAUCACCACAGAUCGCACGGUCACAGUACCGGCGACGUAUCCGUCAAAUGUCUGACUUAUCAGCUGUCGAUGGUAGACUCUGUGUCUACCAUGGCGCUCACGGGUAACGGGGAAUCAGGGUUCGAUUCCGGAGAGGGAGCCUGAGAAACGGCUACCACAUCCAAGGAAGGCAGCAGGCACGCAAAUUACCCACUCCCGGUACGGGGAGGUAGUGACAAAAAAUAACGAUACGGGACUCAUCCGAGGCCCCGUAAUCGGAAUGAGAACACUCUAAAUCCUUUAACGAGGA
rnacentral:rRNA from 1 species